AGAGGAUCAGGUCAGCCCCCGGCCCGCGGGCUGGUCUCCCGAGGAAGCCUAGCCGUCCAGGCCAAGCUCCAGCCCGCUGACAGUCUGACGAUGAGGCUGAUGUGCAGAGGAGGCAAAACAGAGAGAUGGAAAAAAUCUGCAUCUCUGGAAAUGUCACUGAGCUGCCAACCUCACCAGUCUUGAACUUACCUUCUCUCCUGACGGCUUAUCACUUCUGUAUAAGAACACUGCUUUUGAAGAGACCAAAGGAAGCACGCUGCUUGGGAUUCAUAGCACAUUUCACUGGA